GUGGGUAUAGCUCAAGUGGUAGAGUGUGUGCUUAGCAUCCAUGAAGUCCUGGCUUCAAUCCCCAGUACCUCCA
rfam:Camelus ferus unplaced genomic scaffold scaffold995, whole genome shotgun sequence.